CAGCCGCCGCGGUAAUACAGAGGGUGCGAGCGUUAAUCGGAUUUACUGGUCGUAAAGCGUGCGUAGGCGGCUUCUUAAGUCGGAUGUGAAAUCCCUGAGCUUAACUUAGGAAUUGCAUUCGAUACUGGGAAGCUAGAGUAUGGGAGAGGAUGGUAGAAUUCCAGGUGUAGCGGUGAAAUGCGUAGAGAUCUGGAGGAAUACCGAUGGCGAAGGCAGCCAUCUGGCCUAAUACUGACGCUGAGGUACGAAAGCAUGGGGAGCAAACAGGAUUAGAUACCCCAGUAGUCCCUGUCUCUUAUAC
rnacentral:rRNA from 1 species